UUAGGUGUAUAUAGCUUAAUAGAGGAAGUAGGGUGUAAAUCCCUCACAGUGAAAACUGCUGUAAGGUGGACGAAAUCACAAAAUGCCACUGGGAAACUGGGAAGGUGUGAAAGUAGGAUGAAGCUAAGUCAGAAGACUUACCAAUUUUAU
rnacentral:ncRNA from 1 species